AUUGAACGCUGGCGGAAUGCUUUACACAUGCAAGUCGAGCGGCAGCGCGGGGCAACCUGGCGGCGAGCGGCGAACGGGUGAGUAAUGCAUCGGAACAUGUCCAUGUCGUGGGGGAUAGCCCGGCGAAAGCCGGAUUAAUACCGCAUACGUCCGAGAGGAGAAAGUGGGGGACCCGCAAGGGCCUCACGCGAUUGGGUUGGCCGAUGUCCGAUUAGCUAGUUGGUGAGGUAAAGGCUCACCAAGGCGAUGAUCGGUAGCUGGUCUGAGAGGAUGAUCAGCCACACUGGGACUGAGACACGGCCCAGACUCCUACGGGAGGCAGCAGUGGGGAAUUUUGGACAAUGGGGGCAACCCUGAUCCAGCCAUUCCGCGUGAGUGAAGAAGGCCU
rnacentral:rRNA from 1 species